rnacentral:rRNA from 1 species
GACGUAGGGCGCGAGCGUUGUCCGGAUUUAUUGGGCGUAAAGAGCUCGUAGGCGGCUUGUCGCGUCGUCUGUGAAAUCCCGCGGCUCAACCGCGGGUCUGCAGUCGAUACGGGCAGGCUAGAGUUCGGUAGGGGAGACUGGAAUUCCUGGUGUAGCGGUGAAAUGCGCAGAGUAUCAGGAGGAACACCGGUGGCGAAGGCGGGUCUCUGGGCCGAUACUGACGCUGGAGGAGCGAA